rnacentral:rRNA from 1 species
GAUGAACGCUGGCGGCGUGCCUAACACAUGCAAGUCGAGCGGAGAUAUUCGAACGUAUUCGUACGGUAGGGUAUUUUAGCGGCGGACGGGUGAGUAACACGUGAGUAACCUGCCUUUUGCAGGGGAAUAACAUUGGGAAACCAGUGCUAAUACCGCAUAACAUCGGUUGAUGGCAUCAUCAGGCGAUCAAAGGAGAAAUCCGGCAAAAGAUGGACUCGCGUCCGAUUAGCUAGUUGGCAGGGUAAAGGCCUACCAAGGCAACGAUCGGUAGCCGAACUGAGAGGUUGAUCGGCCACAUUGGGACUGAGACACGGCCCAGACUCCUACGGGAGGCAG